GACGAACGCUGGCGGCGUGCUUAACACAUGCAAGUCGAACGCUGAAGCUCAGCUUUUGUUGGGUGGAUGAGUGGCGAACGGGUGAGUAACACGUGAGUAACCUGCCCCCUUCUUUGGGAUAACGCCCGGAAACGGGUGCUAAUACUGGAUAUUCACUGGUCUUCGCAUGGGGGUUGGUGGAAAGGGUUUUUCUGGUGGGGGAUGGGCUCGCGGCCUAUCAGCUUGUUGGUGGGGUGAUGGCCUACCAAGGCUUUGACGGGUAGCGGGCCUGAGAGGGUGACCGGUCACAUUGGGACUGAGAUACGGCCCAGACUCCUACGGGAGGCAGCAGUGGGGAAUAUUGCACAAUGGGCGCAAGCCUGAUGCAGCGACGCCGCGUGAGGGAUGGAGGCCUUCGGGUUGUGAACCUCUUUCGCUCAUGGUCAAGCCGCAACAAUGGUUGUGGUGAGGGUAGUGGGUAAAGAAGCGCCGGCUAACUACGUG
rnacentral:rRNA from 1 species